AGGAGAAAAUGAGAUGAAUCACAAGCUCUUCCAACUUCCACCACCAACCACCUUAGUCAUGUAUAUGAAGUUAUAAACUGUCCUCCUUAAUUCUAUCUCUGAAAACCCUCUUCACAACUCCUCCCCCUCCACAAAAUAAUCUACGAAAUCAACCAUGGGUUCUGAAGUUGUUAUGGUGGAUGAAGUCCCUUUUCCUUCUCAGGUCACUACCUCCAAGCCUUUAUCUCUGCUUGGUCAUGGUAAAACUGAAACACUUUUAUUCAAAUCUCCUGAAUUCAAUUCCUUUUCUUAAAUAUGUCACUAUUUAUGUGUUUCUUGUGGUCUGAGACAGGAAUCACAGACAUUGAAAUACACUUUCUCCAGAUUAAGUUCACAGCAAUUGGAGUUUAUAUAGACCCUGAAGUUGUGGGGCAUUUGCAACAGUGGAAGGGAAAACCUGGAAAUCAUCUAGCAGAAGAUGAUGACUUCUUUGAUGCUCUUAUUGCUGGUAAUUAACAGAUUUUACUCUGCAACAUAUAUACCAUGGAACAAGUUUCAUGAACUAUUUUCUUCCAAUUAUAUGUGCAGCUCCUGUGGAGAAGUUCAUAAGAAUAGUGGUGAUCAAGGAAAUUAAAGGAUCUCAAUAUGGGGUGCAGCUAGAGAGUGCUGUGAGAGAUAGAUUAGCAGCAGAUGAUAAAUACGAAGAGGAGGAGGAAGAAGCCUUGGAGAAAAUUGUUGAAUUCUUCCAGUCCAAGUACUUGAAGAAAGACUCUGUUAUCACAUAUCAUUUUUCAGUUUCUCCAGCUGCUGCUGAGAUUGUAUUUAGCACAGAAGGGAAAGAAGAGGCGAAGAUGAAGGUGGAGAACAAAAACGUUGUGGAGAUGAUAAAAAAAUGGUACUUGGGUGGAACUAUGGGGGUGUCUGAGACAACCAUAUCCUCCCUGGCCAAUAACCUUUCUGCCCAUUUGUCUAAAUGAAAAUGGGCCUUUUGGGUUUCUGUUUGUAUGCUUGGAAAUUGAGAUGAACCUAAGUUUGUACCCUUUACCUGUGAAGUAAGCCUCUGAGAAAUUAUUAAGUAAUUAUCAGGUGCAUUCAGAAUAAUAGAGUACUAUUUUUAUAGUACUCCGAGAGUGUUAAUAAUUAGCCCUUUGUUAAUGCAUUUCCCUCGAUAAAAUAUCCCAUGCAUUUAAGCCUCAUUUUGAGUUUCUGCCUUUUAUGAAUUGGGCUUCAAAGGAAAAUUAUUUUAUUCUUUGAAAUGUAACCCAGCAGCAUAUCAUCUUAUGUGCUGCAUGGUAAGCCAUUUAGAAAGGAAAGGGCCCAAUCCUCCCCUUGGCUCUGGAUUUAUGCUGGGUACCCGUACCUAUAAGAUCUCAUCACCAUCAUAUGGUAGCAUUUUCUACCAGAUAUGGGUCUUGGUACUAGAAGUACAUAUAACAUACUGUAAUUACUGAAUAUUAUCAUAAAACCUACAUUAUUAUGGACUGAAAAUGAAAUUUAAUAUUUUCAAAUCAAAUGGGGCAGAAAAAGGGGUGAUGCAAAUGAUAAAAGAUGCUGAACAUCAAGUCUUAAUCACAGUAGAGAUGUUCUCAUUACUUGUCAGACAAAUGUGUAAAGAGUAUAGGUAGUGGAAUGAAUGAAUUUUCCUAAUCAUGGACUUACUAGACCCACAAAAAGGGUUUUAGAAAUAAAGAAAAAGAAGAGAAAUGAGUUUGAGAUUCCAUUUCUUAAGCACAAAAUCAUGAUUCCCUGUUUUACAUAUGCUUCUACUCCAAAAUGCCCCAUCAAAUCAAACAGGGAAAAAGUAGACUAUAAAUUAAGCUUCCUUAUCUUGAGAUAUAUAUGCUUCUUUGCUUUCAAUUCCCCCUCUCUUUUUCAUAUAUUUAAUCAUCCCUC
rnacentral:misc_RNA from 1 species